UACAGAGGCCUCGAGCGUUAGGCGGAAUCACUGGGCUUAAAGCGUGUGUAGGCGGAUUGCUAAGUACCUUGUGAAAUCCCACGGCUUAACCGUGGAACUGCUUGGUAUACUGGCUGUCUUGAGCCACUUAAGGGCGACCGGAACAAACGGUGGAGCGGUGAAAUGCGUAGAUAUCGUUUGGAACGCCAAAGGUGAAAACAGGUCGCUGGGAGUGUGCUGACGCUGAGACACGAAAGCCAGGGGAGCAAACGGG
rnacentral:rRNA from 1 species